rnacentral:rRNA from 1 species
UACGUAGGGUGCGAGCGUUAAUCGGAAUUACUGGGCGUAAGGCGCACGUAGGCGGCUUUGUAAGUUAGAGGUGAAAGCCCGGGGCUCAACCCCGGAACUGCCUUUAAGACUGCAUCGCUUGAAUCCAGGAGAGGUGAGUGGAAUUCCGAGUGUAGGGGUGAAAUUCGUAGAUAUUCGGAAGAACACCAGUGGCGAAGGCGGCUCACUGGCCUGGUAUUGACGCUGAGGUGCGAAAGCGUGGGGAGCAAACAGG